GCUUUACUGUAACACUCAGCUACUCGGGAGGCUGAGGUGGGAGGAUCGCUUGAGUCCAGGAGCUCUGGGCUGUAGUGAGCUGUGCUGACCGCUCUAAGUCCAACAUCAAUAUGGUGACCUCCCCAAUGGGGACACCACCAGGUAGACAAAGGAGAGGUGAACCAGCCCAGGUCAGAAAUGGAGCAGGUCAAAACUCCUGAGCCGCUCAGUAGUGCCUGUGACCAGCCCCUGCACUCCAGCCGGGGCAACAUAGCGAGCCCUUCUCUUU
rnacentral:SRP_RNA from 1 species